AUGUUAAGUAGAUAUUUUGCAUGUACCAAAGCUCUUAUAAACAAGAUAGGGUAUUCCUACAGAACUGGUGGGACCCACGUCAAAUGGAUCAUAAAGUCUUCAAAAAAUAAUAGAUACGAUUGCAUUGCAUGUAGUCACGGAUGCGAUCAUACCAGCAUUAAUGCACUGGAUCCCAUCAGAACUCUGCAGUUAAGCGUGCUUGGGCGAGAGUAGUACUAGGAUGGGAGAUCUCUCGGAAAGUUCUCGUGUUGCAUCCCUCUUUUUGUUUUUCGGUUUUCUCU
rnacentral:sRNA from 1 species